GUUCCUCCAAGCACCAACCGAUCAACGUUUGCAAGUGAAGCAGGGGGCUCUCCCACGGCAACGUCGGCGUCCACAGGCGGCUGCAGCUCAUGCACCAAAGUGGUGCGGCGCUCUCGACCUCCAUCGCCGACGCGCACGGCGCCCUCACCGAUGGAACCGUCGCAGCUAGGGCGUGGCAUCCUGUACGUUCAUUGUCUAUCUCUCCGCCUCGCCCCACUCCAACUCCUCACAAUCUCUGCCUCUACUUGGAGCUCGCACGAGAGAUGAGACCCAGGAAGGAACGCGCCUCGUCGGAGCAGGAAGGCCUCCCAAUUUGCUGACUCUAUCUGUGUCAUUUUUUCGAUCUGUCAUCAUUCGGGGAAGCAUGGGGUUCUUCGUCGCGCUAAAGGUGUUCGAUGGAAUGUGUCUGUGGCACGGCUCCAUCUUACAGGUGACCUCAGUCAACAAGAGAGAUGGGGAUCAAGGUUUCCCACUGGCUCUGCGCUGAUAAACAAGCAGCCAUGUUGAAUCAAGCAGGAUGGAACCGGGCCAGUAAGGUUGUUAUAUGACAACUCAAGCAUUUCAUGGUUUGCACCACAAAUUGAAGUUGGUAUAUGACCAUUUAGUUUAUUCUUGGACAAAUCAAGC